rnacentral:rRNA from 1 species
AAACUGGAGAGUUUGAUCCUGGCUCAGAUUGAACGCUGGCGGCAUGCCUAACACAUGCAAGUCGAACGGAAACGACGAGAACAAUCCCUUCGGGGUGCGUCCUCGGGCGUCGAGUGGCGGACGGGUGCGUAACGCGUAGGAAUCUACCUUAUAGUGGGGGACAACUCGGGGAAACUCGAGCUAAUACCGCAUAAUCCUUACGAGGGAAAACAGGGGAUCUUCGGACCUUGUGCUAUUAGAUGAGCCUGCGUCGGAUUAGCUAGUUGGUAGGGUAAUGGCUUACCAAGGCAACGAUCCGUAGCUGGUCUGAGAGGAUGAUCAGCCACACUGGGACUGAGACACGGCCCAGACUCCUACGGGAGGCAGCAGUG